UUUGAGUAGGUUAUUGCCAGGGUUUUUAUUUUUAUAUUUUAAAUCUUGAUUUUAUUUUAUGUUUUUUAAAUGUUUGUUAGUUUUUUUGAAUGUGUUAUUUAAAUAACAUAAAAAAUAAAAUAUAUAUUGACAUGGAUUAAACAAAGAUAUAUAUUAUUUUAUGUUGCGUAAACAAAUUGGCAAAAUAGAGAUGGAAGAUAAAAAUAAAAACCCUGGCAAUAACCUACUC
rnacentral:misc_RNA from 1 species